rnacentral:sRNA from 1 species
CACAGGAGGAGAAGCAGGAGCUGUCGUGAAGAUCAGAAGCCAGUCAUGGAUGACCAGCGCGACCUUAUCUCCAACAAUGAGCAACUGCCCAUGCUGGGCCGGCGCCCUGGAGCCCCGGAGAGCAAGUGCGGCCGCGGAGCCCUGUACACAGGCUUUUCCAUCCUGGUGACUCUGCUCCUGGCUGGCCAGGCCACCACUGCCUACUUCCUGUACCAGCAGCAGGGCCGGCUGGACAAACUGACAGUCACCUCCCAGAACCUGCAGCUGGAGAACCUGCGCAUGAAGCUUCCCAAGCCUCCCAAGCCUGUGAGCAAGAUGCGCAUGGCCACCCCGCUGCUGAUGCAGGCGCUGCCCAUGGGAGCCCUGCCCCGGGGGCCCAUGCAGAAUGCCACCAAGUAUGGCAACAUGACGGAGGACCAUGUGAUGCACCUGCUCCAGAAUGCUGACCCCCUGAAGGUGUACCCGCCGCUGAAGGGGAGCUUCCCGGAGAACCUGAGACACCUUAAGAACACCAUGGAGACCAUAGACUGGAAGGUCUUUGAGAGCUGGAUGCACCAUUGGCUCCUGUUUGAAAUGAGCAGGCACUCCUUGGAGCAAAAGCCCACUGAGGCUCCACCGAAAGGUACAGGGAGUGGGAGCUUUAGCGUGCCAGGGCUUCUGGACCCUCGGGGCUCUCCUGGAGCUGCAGAGGCCGGGGCCUCCAGCACUCCCUGGUCCCAGCACCGCGGAAUCUCCCAUCCUCUCAGCUCUCACUUCUUUCUCACUUCUCUCUUUCUCCUGUCUGUUCCUUCUUGGUUUGGCUGUCCCCCUCCCCUG